UUUCCGUAGGUGAACCUGCGGAAGGAUCAUUAUUGAAUGAAACACUUCUGGCUUUAUGCUGUUGUGCUGGCCCUUUGGGCAGCGUGCACACGGCUCUGGUCACUUGUUUCUUCUGUUCCACCUGUGCACUGCCUGUAGACACGCUGUGUCUAUGAUAUUUGUUAACACACAACAAUGUUAGUUGGCAUGUUAUAUAUAAUAAUAAAAUAUACAACUUUCAACAACGGAUCUCUUGGCUCUC
rnacentral:misc_RNA from 1 species